GGACUACACGGGUUUCUAAUCCUGUUUGCUCCCCACGCUGUCGCGCCUGAGCGUCGGUAACGGGCCAGUGAGCCGCCUUCGCCACUGGUGUUCUUCCGAAUAUCUACGAAUUUCACCUCUACACUCGGAAUUCCACUCACCUCUCCCGUACCCAAGUUCUCUAGUCUCAAAGGCCAUUCCAGGGUUGAGCCCUGGGCUUUCACCUCUGACUUGAAGAACCGCCUGCGCGCGCUUUACGCCCAGUAAUUCCGAACAACGCUAGCCCCCUUCGUAUUACCGCGGCGGCUGGCAC
rnacentral:rRNA from 1 species